AUGUCCAGAGUGGUGGUCCUCGUGCCUGAUGGCAGUGCCGCUUGGCUCCCAGUGAACGUUUUCCAGCGACGACACCAGCCACGCUUGUUUUCAGUGAUCAGAGAUAAUACGGAAGUGGCUCCCGAUUUGCUAACAUUAAUGACUUCAACAGCACCCAGGACAUUCUCCGAUAGAGGAUUUCUGGCAGUGCUCUGGACAGGAUUGGCAGCCCAAAGAACUGAGGAACCCAGAGGUGGUGACAGUUCUCUCCGGACCGCAGGGCAGUUGAGCAGUCAGGAGAAGGCAUGGUUACUGUCCAGCCGGCCCCAGAGGACCCUGCAGACGGGAGGCUCGGCGCGCAGGGUGGCUGUCCCACGACCGCCUCUCUCUGUCCUCUGCUCUACCCAGGGCUCCUGCUCGGGACUCUCAGCCUGGUUGCCUGUCAUGGCCCAACCGAUGCCAGCCCAGCUGUAGACGGAAGGCUGAGAGCCCCGUGAGCUCUGCCGGGCUCUGCCUGCUGCCUCUCGGAGCUGGACAGCCACCCUCCCGGAUGUCUGAGCCCCAUGUGCAUUGUCAGGUUUCUUAGUGACACAAUUUCCUCUCUUGCCGGGUGUUGGUUUGCAUUUCAACUGAUUUGAGCAAGAGAGGUAUCAGCAGGAGAGCUGCGGUCCUGGCUGGGUUUUCCCUCGAAGGUUGGAUUUGCACAGGACUCACUGACUUCUUUCGAAGAUAGGAAAUCCAGGCUAAAUCCAGUGUAUUUAGAAAUGAGCAGAAGAGGAAGAACCAUAUCGUUGAGCUGAUUGUGUAAGAGCCAGAGUGGCCUUUGGAAGGAAAUUUAGAACAUAUAAUUAUUAAAUGAGA
rnacentral:lncRNA from 1 species